rnacentral:lncRNA from 1 species
ACCGAGGGCCGCCGAGCGCAAGGUAAGUUGUGCAGGCCGGGAAGGUGGGGGCGCCGGCAUGGGACGUUCAGGUUUGGUGGACUGGCGCCGAGGCCGGCCGGGCUGACAGCUGCAGGGCCCGGGCGGGGGAUGCGGGGGAAGGCGGAGCCGACCUCAGGCUGCCUCUCUGCAACCCCCUCGCUCCCAGGCUCGCCUUCCCGCGCCCACGCUGUACACCCAACGGAGGCAUCUUCCCCAAGCCCAGCUCGGAGAGGAUUAGUUUAGCACCUACUGUGUACCAGGCCCCCUCGUAGGAGUCAGUUAGCGUCGGGAAGGGCUGGAUACUCCAAGGGCUCGCUCAUUAAAGGUUCGCAACCUCUCCUUUCUCAUCCCCAUUUUACAUAGGAGGAGACUGAGGAGCAGAGAAGUAACAGCGGGUAGUAUUUCAAGGGAUGACUAAGAGAAGAUGUCAGCGGACUUGAAGAGCUGUCAGCUCCAUUAGGGGAGAUGAGCGAAGGCUGACUCUCUGCCAGAAGACACACACGAGGCUCAGGACAUAUCAGGAACUUGCCUGUGGUCACAAUUAUAGAUCCUACAAGUGAAGAUUUGAGCCCACACAGGCCAGCACCGGAGCUGCCUGGGCCAGGGGCAGUCAUCAAUUUUGAAUUUUUUUCGGCUGAGCACUUAGGUAAGGGCUGCUGAUCUGGAGAAUGAAUCAGGGGCAAGGACUGAGAGAGCUGCAGAGGAGAGAGGGUAGCAGCCUGACUAGGAUAGGGUCAGUGGGAGGCAAGGGAAUGAAUUUGGAAAAUGUUUAGGAGGUAGAAUCAAUUAGUUGCGCUCCUCUCCAAAACCCUCACGGUAGAGUGGGGUCUUGGUUGCUACUCCAUUUCCCCUGUCUAGUUCAGUGCCUGGCAUAGAGCAGGGGCUCAAAAACA